rnacentral:rRNA from 1 species
CAGCCGCCGCGGGAAAACAGAGGGUGCGAGCGUUAAUCGGAUUUACUGGGCGUAAAGCGUGCGUAGGCGGUGAGUUAAGUCUGCUGUGAAAUCCCCGGGCUCAACCUGGGAAUGGCAGUGGAUACUGGCUCGCUAGAGUGUGUCAGAGGAUGGUGGAAUUCCCGGUGUAGCGGUGAAAUGCGUAGAGAUCGGGAGGAACAUCAGUGGCGAAGGCGGCCAUCUGGGACAACACUGACGCUGAGGCACGAAAGCGUGGGGAGCAAACAGGAUUAGAUACCCGUGUAGUCCCUGUCUCUUAUAC